rnacentral:tRNA from 1 species
GCCGAUGUAGCUCAGCUGGCUAGAGCAGCUGAUUUGUAAUCAGCAGGCCGGGGGUUCGAGUCCCUCCAUCGGCU